rnacentral:rRNA from 1 species
UACGAAGGGGGCUAGCGUUGCUCGGAAUCACUGGGCGUAAAGGGUGCGUAGGCGGGUCUUUAAGUCAGGGGUGAAAUCCUGGAGCUCAACUCCAGAACUGCCUUUGAUACUGAGGAUCUUGAGUUCGGGAGAGGUGAGUGGAACUGCGAGUGUAGAGGUGAAAUUCGUAGAUAUUCGCAAGAACACCAGUGGCGAAGGCGGCUCACUGGCCCGAUACUGACGCUGAGGCACGAAAGCGUGGGGGAGCAAACAGGA